CACAGAGAAGAUGGAGGGUGCCUCGCUUGGUCUGCACCACUACCAAUCGAACACACAGGAUAACCUGCAACCCAGCAAAGUCCUUGUAACCACUUUUAAAGAUAAGACAGAAGUUGCUAAAAACAUUUUCCAUGUUAACAGUGCCAAGGAUCUCAUUGAUCAAAGCCUAGCCCAGCAAACUGGCUGUGUGCUUGACAGGUUGUUAAAGUAUAAUACUGAUUUCAUGGAAUACAUUGAUGUUGACAUGAAUGAGGAGGAAUUGAAGGAUUUGGAUAGAUAUCACAUCUUUCUAUCAACACAAGGGACCCAAGUUGAAUGUGUGGAGGCAAAUCAAAAUCAGGCUCAACCACACACUGAAGGUGCAGGCGGUCAAUGGGAGACUGAACCUAGUGCUAGUGAAGCUUGUCAGAGUGGUCCACUGGAGAAAUGCCAAGGAGAAAAUGAUGGCGUGCACAGAUUUGAUGCAGCCAAUCUGGUGGUGCUAAUUAAUAACAAAGCCCCAAGUGUACUUGCCGAAUAUGAAAAAUCUGGAACGCUCUCUCUGGCAUCCAGAAAACUCCUUGUGAGAACAGGUGUCAGCGAUCUGGUUGAGCGACGGGGAUUGUGAGUUGAUUGAUCAUUCAUCUAGACCAUCAUUUUUUAUAGUACAUGUGCUCCAAAAUGAAACAUAAUAAAGGAUUAUCUUAUCUUAUCUCAUAACAUAAUACUAAAAUUUGAUGUAAUCUUUAUUACACUAUUGCAUUUUAAAUUUUUUUCUG
ensembl:lncRNA